GACGAACGCUGGCGGCGUGCUUAACACAUGCAAGUCGAACGGAAAGGCCCCCUUGUGGGGUACUCGAGUGGCGAACGGGUGAGUAACACGUGAGUAACCUACCCUUGACUUUGGGAUAACUUCAGGAAACUGGGGCUAAUACCGGAUAGGAGCUCCUGCUGCAUGGUGGGGGUUGGAAAGUUUCGGCGGUUGGGGAUGGACUCGCGGCUUAUCAGCUUGUUGGUGGGGUAGUGGCUCACCAAGGCUUUGACGGGUAGCCGGCCUGAGAGGGUGACCGGCCACAUUGGGACUGAGGUACGGCCCGGACUCCUACGGGAGGCAGCAGUGGGGAAUAUUGCACAAUGGGCGGAAGCCGGAUGCAGCAACGCCGCGUGCGGGAUGACGGCCUUCGGGUUGUAAACCGCUUUCGCCUGUGACGAAGCGUGAGUGACGGUAAUGGGUAAAGAGGCACCGGCUAACUACGU
rnacentral:rRNA from 1 species